GGGUGUUGGAUAUCCCGGUUUGCGAGCGUAGGAAGCCGGCAGGCAAAUCCGCCGGCGAAUUUCCGAGGCGAAGCAUCGAGGCUGGUUUCAGCUGAAGUGACUGAAUGGACUUCCAGGAAAAGCUUCUAAGCAUCAGCCUGCAAUUGACCGUACCGCAAACCGACACUGGUGGGCGAGCUGAAUAUGCUCAGGCGCUUGAGAGAACUCAGGAGAAGGAACUCGGCAAAUUGACACCGUAACUUCGGGAUAAGGUGUGCCUUUGUAGUGUGAAGGGAGAAACGCCCCGAGCAUGAAGAGGUCUCAGAGAAUUGGUGGCUGCAACUGUUUACUAAAAACACAGCACUCUGCAAAGACGAAAGUCGACGUAUAGGGUGUGAUGCCUGCCCGGUGCUGGAAGAUUAAUUGAUGGGCUGCAAGGUCCUGAUCGAAGUCCCAGUAAACGGCGGCCGUAACUAUAACGGUCCUAAGGUAGCGAAAUUCCUUGUCGGGCAAGUUCCGACCUGCACGAAUGGCAUAAUGAUGGCCACACUGUCUCCUCCUGAGACUCAGUGAAGUUGAAGUGUUUGUGAUGAUGCAAUCUCCCCGCGGCUAGACGGAAAGACCCCAUGAACCUUUACUGCAGCUUUGCAUUGGACUUUGAACCGAUCUGUGUAGGAUAGGUGGGAGGCAGUGAAGCUAGGACGCCAGUCUUAGCGGAGCCAACCUUGAAAUACCACCCUGAUUUGUUUGAGGUUCUAACCUGGGAGCGUAAUCCGCUCCGGGGACCGUGCAUGGUAGGCAGUUUGACUGGGGCGGUCUCCUCCUAAAGGGUAACGGAGGAGUGCGAAGGUACGCUAGGCACGGUCGGAAAUCGUGCUGAUAGUGCAAUGGCAAAAGCGUGCUUGACUGCGAGUCCGACAAGACGAGCAGAUACGAAAGUAGGUCAUAGUGAUCCGGUGGCUCUGCAUGGAAGGGCCAUCGCUCAACGGAUAAAAGGUACUCUGGGGAUAACAGGCUGAUACCGCCCAAGAGUUCAUAUCGACGGCGGUGUUUGGCACCUCGAUGUCGGCUCAUCUCAUCCUGGGGCUGUAGCCGGUCCCAAGGGUAUGGCUGUUCGCCAUUUAAAGAGGUACGUGAGCUGGGUUUAAAACGUCGUGAGACAGUUUUGUCCCUAUCUGCCGUGGGCGCUGGAAGAUUGACGGGGGCUGUUCCUAGUACGAGAGGACCGGAAUGGACUCACCUCUGGUGUACCGGUUGUCACGCCAGUGGCACCGCCGGGUAGCUAUGUGGGGAAAGGAUAACCGCUGAAAGCAUCUAAGCGGGAAACCUGCCUGAAGAUAAGUCUUCCUGGAGGCUUGACCUCCCUGAAGAGUCGUUCGAGACCAGGACGUUGAUAGGUCGGGUGUGCAAGCGCUGCGAGGCGUUGAGCUGACCGAUACUAAUUGCUCGUGAAGCUUGAUCCUAUAACCGUGAAGCUUUUCA
rnacentral:rRNA from 1 species